rnacentral:lncRNA from 1 species
AGAGCCGAGGUUGAGUCUUUACCACAGGGAGGUCAGUUUUGAAGAUUCUGAAGACAGUUGAAGGGAAUAUCUCUUUAUUUUAAGAGCAAUAUCCAGGCCUUUGCUUAGGGGUAGGUCAGCAAACCAUUCUUUAGUCCAGGAGUUUAUUAGAAAAUGCAAUUUAAAAAUAACAUCGCCGUGGGCUUGCCAAAAGCUCAUCUGCAGGUUUGGGGACAUCACAUUAAACAUCAUGGAUUUUGAUGACUGCCCUCUCUGCUUCCAGGGGAAUGAUUUUCAAUCGUCUCUGGAGAGAGGAGUGCGUGAAGGAUGGGAUCCAGUGUUGUUAAUUGAGUUCACCCAGUCUGUCUUCCGAGAUGGUGUACUUUGGUUUGUGAUCCACCACUGGUUAAGGGACCAGCCUCACAGAAUUUUGUUUUCUCUCCUGGUGAGCAGGUCCAUCGGAUGCAGGUGUGAAUUAUUUGGUGCCGUUGAUUUCCAUCCAUUUCUUGACUCCUCCGUAUAU